CUGCUGCUCCAGCUCCCGGGGACAGCCAGGCUAGAUCCCUCCCUUUCCUCCCAGUACUUCUGACUCAUGGCCACAUUUCACGGCAGACCUGCCGUCUUCUUCUUCCCUCCUGUCUGGGCUCACUGGGGGCUUACCUGGAGGCUCCUUUCCUGGCAUCCCCGAGUCCCUGGCCUUGCUAGCUUUUUGCUCCACUGGCCCUGAAGCACCAAACCCUGGCUGCGUCCUCCCUGACUGCUCCUUCACUCUCCCUCUCCGGGGCAGUCAUGCGCUGAUGGGAACACUGAGAGCCGCUGCUGACUGGCGCCAUCCUCAGCACACGUCCUACCUGUGCUUCGCCUCAACAGCCCCUUCACCUGUCAUUUUCACCCAGGAUUAUCCCGCACCUUCACCUCUCCCUGCCAGCUCAGACAGCAGAGGCCCCUUCCUCCUAGAUUACACAGAAACAUGGGGCCUCCACGCAUAGUCUUUGUCACGCUUUGCCUUCCUUACCUCCUUGCUCGGUCUCACAGGGAGGUUAGGGUGGUGCUGUGCCUGUUCGAAGCCACUGCCUCCCCUGUGCUAUCCCCACCCUCCUCCAACAAGACCUUGCUCCAACCUCCUCUCUCCUGUUCCCACCAGCCUUUUUCUCUCAGUGCACUGACAUGCUGAUGUUUACUCCCCACCUACACUCAGGGGCACCAAAGAGGAAUGGACAGCGAGGUCGAAAAGAAACGAGGAGAGAAGAGUGACUACAGAUACAAGAGGGGAGAGAAUUUCAAGGAGGGACAGAUGAAAGGAACUCGAGUGUAUUUAAAUGCUGACAGGAAGGUGCCAGUAGAGAUGGAGACACUGAAGAUACAGGAGAGAAGGGAUAAGACGUGGACAAGGUCUCUACCGGAGCAGCAUACGAGGGGGUCCUGGGCUGAGAUGGAAUUAGCUGUAGAACAAAGGAGGCGCAGCCACACCUUAUAAUGGGAGUGAAGAGAACAAACGUGGGCCGGGCUCGGGCAUGUGGGCUCCAGAAGUUGACGCUUCCUUCUGGAGCUCUCUCCUCAGAAGCAGGUAAGUUUCUCUGCAGGGAGCGGGAGAAGGGACUCUGGAGUCGCUGUCACGAGUAAUGGGAGAGAAAACGGAGCAGGACACCUAAAGUCCAUCAAGUAGUAACGAAGCCUCAGCUGAGGCUGGAAACCUUGCUUCUGUCGUGAUGCAGCAGGAGAGGGGCCCGAUGGCCCUGCGAGAGGCCAGGGCAGGAGCACAUGGGCAGGCUGCCGGACUAGGACUGCACCAGCUUUCACGAGGUUUGGCGCUUUUGAUUGCAGCCAGCGUGUUCUCCUGGGAGUCACGUGGCCAGUCUUAAACCAACACAAAGCCCUGUGUGCACAUGUGAGCUCCAGUGAUACUGUGAAGUACAUAUUUGGUCUAUAUCCCUGUGUCCUGGCAUAUAAUUCCUAAAAUCCUUGGACUCUCCAAAGUGAGAGAAGACUCAAAUCAUUCCCAAUGGAGCCACCUCUGACAGGCUUCCCAGAAGUGAGAGGGGAGCUCCCUCUCCCUCCAAUAACGCAGCGUCAGAGCCAUCAUCACUGCCUGUGUCUUGUAGAGGCACUGGGGCGUGUGCUCUGAGACAAAGGCCUUGACCUUCAGGAGCGGCCACUCCAGUUGGACAGAGAAAUGUUAAGACUCGAGUCAAGUGGGCUAAUUCGCUCACAUGCUAGGCUGAGAUUUCAGAGAUUUUUAUUAUAACUUUUAAGUUGAUUUCACCUUUAGCCUGUCUGAGACCUGACCUGCCUGCAGAUUCAGCCACUUCUGGCUGUACUGGAGCAGGACUGAUGCCUCCGCUGUCUUAUGCUGGGAAGAGGGGGACAGACGGGCAAGAGACUGAAUCAAUCCCUUUUCAAGCAGCUUAAGUUCCAGAUUUGGCUUAAAAAUGUAAUUUAAAAAAAUUGUACCUUCUUUUCAUUAAUGGCUAAUAUUUAUUGAGCAUUCAUGAUGCCAGACACUUGAUAUACACUAUAAAUUGCCACUGAGUGUUGAUGUUACAGCCCCAUUUCCAAAUGCAGAGGCUUUGGUCACUUUCCAAGGGCACUCGGCCAGUCAGCCCGGGCUGCCCUAUUCAGUGGCCCCAUGGGGUCUUCACACCACACGCUAAUGCUGUUUUCACGACCAUCUCUAUAACCUUGUUUGUAAUCUGAGACAUACAUGUGAACUAAAGGCAAUUCAUUUCAGAUUACACAUUUAACUUUUUCUUAUUCCAUUUAAAAUCAUGUUACAAUGAAAAGAAUUUCCUUUAUAUAUGGGCGAGUCCACAUUAAUGAGAACAUAGUACAUGGAAGUCCAA